rnacentral:misc_RNA from 1 species
CCAAACUUGGUCAUUUAGAGGAAGUAAAAGUCGUAACAAGGUUUCCGUAGGUGAACCUGCGGAAGGAUCAUUACUGAGUUAGGGUCUCUAUUCGAGCCCGACCUCCAACCCUUUGCUUACUUGACCUUUUUGUUGCUUCGGCAGGCCCGCCCCGUAAAACGGGCCGCCGGGGGAGGUUAUUCACCCCUGGCCAGCGCCUGUCGACGGCCCAACUUUAAACUCUUGUUAAAAUGUGUCGUCUGAGUUAACACAAAAAAUAAACAAAAACUUUCAACAACGGAUCUCUUGGUUCUGGCAUCGAUGAAGAACGCAGC